rnacentral:rRNA from 1 species
GACGCUGGCGGUAGGCUUAACACAUGCAAGUCGUGCGAGAAAAUAUCUUCGGAUAUGAGUAGAGCGGCGAACGGGUGAGUAACGCGUAGGAAUGUACCUAGUAGAAGGGGAUAGCCCGAGGAAACUCGGAUUAAUACCGUAUACCUCCUUCGGGAGAAAGAAGGCCUCUCUUUGAAGCUUUCGCUAUUAGAUCAGCCUGCGUAAGAUUAGCUUGUUGGUGAGGUAAUGGCUCACCAAGGCUACGAUCUUUAGCUGGUCUGAGAGGACGAUCAGCCACAUUGGGACUGAGACACGGCCCAGACUCCUACGGGAGGCAGCAGUGGGGAAUAUUGGACAAUGGGCGCAAGCCUGAUCCAGCCAUACCGCGUGUGUGAAGAAGGCCUUCGGGUUGUAAAGCACUUUAAGCAGGGAGAAAAAAAUAUAGGUUAAUACCCUAUGUUCUUGAUGUUACCUGCAGAAUAAGCACCGGCUAAUUCCGUGCCAGCAGCCGCGGUAAUACGGAAGGUGCAAGCGUUAAUCGGAAUUACUGGGCGUAAAGCGCGCGUAGGUGGUUUGUUAAGUUGGAUGUGAAAGCCCUGGGCUCAACCUAGGAACUGCAUCCAAAACUGGCUAACUAGAGUACGAUAGAGGGAGGUAGAAUUCAUAGUGUAGCGGUGGAAUGCGUAGAUAUUAUGAAGAAUACCAGUGGCGAAGGCGGCCUCCUGGAUCUGUACUGACACUGAGGUGCGAAAGCGUGGGUAGCGAACAGGAUUAGAUACCCUGGUAGUCCACGCCGUAAACGAUGACAACUAGCUGUUGGGAGGCAAAGCCUUUCAGUGGCGCAGCUAACGUUUUAAGUUGUCCGCC